GACGUACAGCGGGACGCACUGCUGCCUUGUCAGGGCUCGUGACAUCAGAUCUUAAAGUUCAGAGUCCGUUGUAUGUCUCCCCGCCCCAAAAAAAUGCCAGUACUCACAAACGUACUUAAACGUCCCUUGUUUAUUGUUUCAUCAUUCUAAAGAGACAGAGGGAAGGAGGGCUGCAUGAACCA